GUUUUUAGAUGCUUCUGAACUGCAAAAAUAUCUUUUCAGUUGAAUAUAUUGUGGUGGAAAUUAUAUGAAUUCUUAAAAGAGCACUAAUAUGCAACGGUGCCUUUUAGUCAAUGUUACAAGAUGUCUAUAAAUUUUAUCCUUUGUGUUAAAAUGGAAUUUUCAUUUUUUGAAUUGUGUGUUUUAACAUGUGUCGAGUUUACACCAAUUCUUUCAAAAUCUCUAUCAUCUAAUAGUGAAGUUUUACAUGAUACGUUCA
rnacentral:misc_RNA from 1 species